rnacentral:lncRNA from 1 species
GGAGGAGAUGAAGAAAAUAAUCCUAAGCAUAAAAUUAAAAGUUAAGAGUUGAAAAGAUCUAACAAAUGAGAUGCAAUCCAACAGACAAGAAUGUCAUAUAGAAAACUGAUCGGUCACCAUUUUUACUAUGUUUUCGUUGCUUAUCCGACAAGAAACCAAGGAUAUUGAGACACUGUGUACGUAUUAUGGUACCUUUAAAUUUAAUUUAUAUUCCCGUAAGUUAUUUAAGCAAUUUUGUUAAUUGUCAAUUUUAUUUUG